GAGGAGAGACGCGGGGCGGAGAGGAGCCGGUGCGGCGGGGGAAGACCGGCGGACCGAGGGCGGCGGGGUCGGUGUUAAUCGUAGUUUAUCGCAGUCGUAGUUGUGAGCAGUUGGGGCGGGUGUUGGUGCGGGUUUGCGGUCGUUUAGACGCCGUUUGGAGUGGCGGUUUUGUCGGAGGUGGCGGCUGGGAGCGCGGAGUUAGGGUUAAGGUGUGGCUUUCUGGAAAAGACCCGAUUUAUCUGCGGGGUCGAGGGUCUGGAGUGGCUCUUACCUCCGGCUGGUUUUGUGGAGGGGUUUUAAGGAGGGGGCGUGGCUGUCAUGGCUGGAUUUUGGGUGAAAAUUGUUUUAAGGAAGCGUUUGAUUACACAAUGAGAUGUGUGUGUGUGUGUGUGUAUGAGUGUGUGUUACAGAAAGAGAGAGCAGCAGGAUGGGCUUUAUUAACACUACCUAAGACUGAUAGCUAUAGGCAGCCAGCAUUGGUGACAGGGUUUUUAGGGAGUGUAAAAGCUGUAGAAACGUGUAAAUAAAUAAAUAUGUUAUAUAUUUAAGACUUUGACUCCCUCACGCGCUCGCUCACGCGUACAUAUAACCUACACCCAGGGCGUGAGCCUGCAGUCGAGUGGAGCCACACAUACACACUCUCACAGUGUGUGUGUGUGUUUGAGUGCUAGUCUGCUCUCGUUCGUGUCAGAUAUGUGGAGAAAAAACGGUAAAUUUAAAAAAAGGCUCAGGUUUCAGAAAGAAAAGAGGAAAAAAAAACAAGAAAAGAAGAAGAAGGACCACAAGCACAUCGACUGCUCUGAGACAUCUGCUGGGGAGAGAGACACACAGAAAGAGAAAUAUAAAAAGAAAGAAAGAGAGAAAGAAAGAAAGAAAGAGUCAUGAGCUAUGGAGAAGGACACGAUCGCCAGUGUUCCCUAUUGCGCCAGUGUGCCGUUUUUGUGGACCUAUGGAAUUCCAUUGGAAAGGCGUCUAGCUGCCAAAGGUUGAUUGACUCGAUGCUGUCUGUCCCCUUCACCACUAAUGGUCAUCAAGGGAGUGACCCAGCAUUUGCCCUGGUGCCCACUGGCUGACCCGCAGCAGUUCUUCACUGGCAAGCUUUAUGUCCUUGUGUAUCAGCUAAAGCUGCCAGCUGAAGAACUGUUGUGGUUGGCUCUUUCCUGGCACCUCAGCCGAGGAGGACAUGAUGAUGGCGUGCACAUCCAUAAUGGCAUAGGUGAGGUUUCAGGAAGAGAAGAGAAAAGAGGGGGGGGAUGGGUGGAUGGGCGGAUGGCUCAGACAGUAGUGCUGGCGUGAUGAUGGGUCAGAGGGUUCAAACCAAUAGUGGAUCAGACAGGUCCGGCUUUCGGUCCCCCCCCUCCACCCUCCUCCUAGCUUUGCCUGGAAUGCUCACGUGAGCUGUCCGGGCCUGGCUGUGCAUUCUCCACAGGCAUAAACAAAAGCUUCUGGCAGAGCCCAUGCUGACUCAGCAACAUUCCUGGCCCGGUGAGGUCCUCCUGGCCUUAUUUGGGCGUGGAGCGGGUGGGGAGCGGCCGCGGCUGGGCCGUGGCUCGUCAAGUGGGGAUGGGUUGACGGGGUUGACGGGAGCACCCACAGCAAGAAAGACAAAAAGGAAAAAAUAAAGUGAUGUUCUGAGGGGUUGAAAGAAAAAUUGCAGUGCACUUAUUUUUUUACUUAUUUUAUACUUCCUUGUGUUCUCUGGAGAGGAGCCCAGGAUUUUCACAUGUGUUUCUGUUUAUGGAACAGUCAGAGAGUUCUUUCCAGAGAACGAGCAUUUUAGUUCUCUCAUGCAUAAACCUGUAUCGCCAAUUUUGCGUUUUUCAAUUUUUGACAGACAUUGAAUCUGGCAAUAGGAAUGCUCAAAAAUAACUUGAUUAAUAACUUGAAAUUAAAUAUUUUAAAUGAGCACAGAAGGCGUACAAACCAUGCUGGGUCUGGUUAGUGAACAGUAGCUGGGAGACACAGAACCUAUUGAUGUGAGGGCUUAAUAGCCUCAAGAUAUUCUGAUUGGCUGGAUAUGCCUUUUUUUUUUUAAACACUACAGUAGGCUGCUAGCCGAAGUGCUAACAUCGCAGUAGCAAUGUUGGAUGAGUCCAGUAGCCAGCAUGCUAACAUUGUGUUUGUGAUGAAAGACAACACCUGUACAGUCAUGCUAAUGCUGCGAUAGCCCCCCAUGCUAACUCUUUGAAAUCAGUGGAGGAAUGUAAGACUCUGUGCUCUUCCUGGUCCUGAAGAAAUCUCAAUCCAAAUAUUGGCUCCAAACCAUUAAGAAGUUUUUAUCUCUUCUCCUGUAAAAUUGCCAUUUUGAAGAUAAUCAGCAAUAUCUAUGUUCUGUAUGUUCAUCUGGACCAUCUCCUGCCCCUCCCCCUCAGGCCCUGCCCUGGAAUUUAUGAGACACACUGGGCAUACUGUGUCUGAGUGACAUGCUGGUGUACACACGCCACAUUGCACAAGCUUAGUAAGCAAUGAAUCUCUCUUCAAGGGCAAAAGCAGUGCUGAGAACAGGAUAUGAAACCGUGCCGUUCUUAAACCUUCCAGCCAGAUAAAAAACAAAGGUAGAGAAUGUUCUCGCCAGCUAGCAGAACCAGAUGCCCUUUGCGGGAAAACGUGUGGAGCCUGUGGCUUGAAAAGCAGUGCUGCUUCCUUUCUGUCUCUCUGCUGCACACCCCACCCCUCCUAACCCCCCUAGACAUGCUCAUGCAGGAUCAUGUAGCAUAUUUGUUCUUGCACAGUCACUAGAGUUAAGGAUAAAUAAAUGACAUGAUGUGGCAUAAACUAAACUAAGCUAAGCUAAGCCACGCUAAGCUAAUCAAAGCUAGUGUGACGAGGCUCCUGCAUAGAUGUUGCUUUGUUUUAUGUGCCAUCUCUUUCCGGAACCUAUAUAAGACUACGGUUCCAUCAGGUCAAGCGCAAUCAUUGCCCGCUAGAUCGGCUCUGGGCAAGCUUCUUGCAAGCGAAUUAAAAGAUUGCGGAGGGUCGACCUGGCUCUGCUUAACAGGAGCAGUAAUUCCAACCUAUAGGUCAGACCCAGAGCAUCACUCAGCAUGCUGUCUUUAGAAGCUCUUUACAUUAGUUUAGAAAGAGCAGGGUCAUUUGUGUUGUCUUUAUGCUGGAAAUGUGUUUUUAACUUUAGUUUUGUAGUGUGUUUUAAUGUACUGUAUUGUAGUGUAUUUUACAAAAAAUAAAGACACAAAAAAGGCAAAUUU